rnacentral:lncRNA from 1 species
AUAAAAAUAAAAAAAUAAAGGGCUCUGAGCCCAGCCCUCUGGCCAGGGCCUGGUGCAGUGGCAGAGGCUUGGGUCCCUGCCAGGUCUCCUGAAACGUCUCCAGGGUCUGCUGGGGCAGCCACCUGGGUGCUCAGUUGCUCUGUUAAACAGCAAAAUUCCCAAGUCCUCAUCUCAAUGAGCCACUGAGGCCGAUGAAGAGGGCCUGUCUCAUUUAGGACAUGAGUGGCCAGGCGGGUGCCACAGGCCCUUUUCCUGGUGACAACAAAGCCAUUGCAUGGCUCCAGGAAGGCCACAUCAUUUCCCGGGCUUCGUAGGCACCUGCGGGGCGGAAACAGUUCAGCAGGGCCCUCCUGAUCACAAGGAAGAGGUCAUACCGGCUGCUGCACGGCAGGGCUGCACUCUGCCAGGGAGCGUCCUGUGAGGGAGGGGCUGCACUGCCACUUUACUGAUGAGGAAAUUAAGGUUCAGAGAGAUGAGGUCAUUUGUUAGAGGCCAGACAGCCUCCUCAGCCCAUUUCUAAGGUUGUUUCUGUGGUAUUUGCCAUAAAGCCAUAGGUUCAUUGAUUUGUUCUUAAGUAGUUCUGAGCCCUUCCUGCAUAUCAGGCAGGGACAAACAGGAAAGUCCCUGCCUUUGGCAAGUGCGGGGGAAAUGAAAUGAUUCUGCUCAGCCUCAUCCAUUGGUCUGAACAAUCACGUCUCAUGACCGCAGGGACACGGCUUCCCCUGAACGCGGAUCCUAGAGGCCAGGCAGAAGCAGCAUGGGUUUCCACUCACACGGUAGGCGGCUGUGCAAUUUCGUCUGGAGUCCGCAGACCCCUCCUCAUCCUUCCCAGGGUUGCUCUGAGGCCAUUCCUCGUCAUCUAGGAGGGGUCUACAUAAAAGCAUUUAUAAACACCUCCAAAUGGGAGCCAGGCGUGCCCACCUUUGGAGCACUUUUCUCUACUGCAAAUUUAUCUACUGCUCGUGAAAUCUCUGGAUUUAACUCUGAUGAAAGACUGGAGGCUGAAGGAGAACUUCAAUAUCAUAUAUUUUAAAGGUUGAUUCACAGUUUGGAGCAAGAAUUAAAGAACCACGAACUUCAAGGUAAAACGGGCAACGGCGUUGGGGCAAGCCUCUCUGCAUCUGCGUGUCCAGCCUCUCCUGCAUGCCAGAAGUCCCCAGGCAGGAGUGUGGUGGGACAUCCGGCUGGGGUGAUGUAAAAUUCUCAAACAAUGAGAUAGAUAAAAAGUACGCAGCCAAAAAGUUCAAGAAGAAGUGUUAUGGAGAUGGAGCAGGCCCUUCGUAAAAACACGAUGUUGGUUUUCUGGAUUUUGGAGGCCUCACAAAACCCGGAUCAGACUCGCCCACUGCCCUGUGUCUGCCCUCCCGACCGCCUCUCCUGCCCAGCAGGGAUGAGGGUGGCAGUGGUGCUGUGUGGAGGGUGGCGGGAGGACCUGGAAGACUGCGACCAGUGAGCCGGGAGGCCUUGGGACAGCCUCUCUCUGAAUCAUCCUGUGCACUGCCGGGUGUGACAGAGGCUCCUAGAAUCCUGUCUCAAGUGGCCGCCUUCACAGAGGGAGUCACUGACGUCCCUGCUCAGCGCAGCCCUGGCAUGUGGGGGUCCCUCUACUCAUGAGAAACCCCCACCCAAUCACCGUGAGAUGAAGAAAUGGGGCCUGGCGAGGAGCAAAGCCCAGAACUGCUGCCCACCACCCUCCCUGCCUGGUGCUUUCCUGGGAACAUGUGGGAGCCCCUGCCUGGACCU